CCUACGGGGGGCAGCAGUAGGGAAUAUUGGGCAAUGGGCGCAAGCCUGACCCAGCAACGCAGCGUGAAGGAAGAAGGCUUUCGGGUUGUAAACUUCUUUUCUCAGGGACGAAGAAAGUGACGGUACCUGAGGAAUAAGCCACGGCUAACUACGUGCCAGCAGCCGCGGUAAUCCGUAGGUGGCAAGCGUUAUCCGGAUUUACUGGGUGUAAAGGGCGGGUAGGCGGGAAAGCAAGUCAGUUGUGAAAACCAGGGGCUCAACCUGUGGCCUGCAUUUGAAACUGUUUUGCUUGAGUACUGGGGAGGCAGACGGAAUUCGUCGUGUAGCGGUGAAAUGCGUAGAUAUGAGGAGGAACACCAGUGGCGAAGGCGGUCUGCUGGACAGCAACUGACGCUGAGGCGCGAAAGCGUGGGGAGCAAACAGGAUUAGAUACCCCAGUAGUC
rnacentral:rRNA from 1 species